UACAGAGGGGGCAAGCGUUGUUCGGAAUUACUGGGCGUAAAGGGCGCGUAGGCGGCCUUCUAAGUCAGACGUGAAAUCCCCGGGCUCAACCCGGGAACUGCGUCUGAUACUGGAAGGCUUGAAUCCGGGAGAGGGAUGUGGAAUUCCAGGUGUAGCGGUGAAAUGCGUAGAUAUCUGGAGGAACACCGGUGGCGAAGGCGGCAUCCUGGACCGGUAUUGACGCUGAGGCGCGAAAGCCAGGGGAGCAAACAGG
rnacentral:rRNA from 1 species